rnacentral:rRNA from 1 species
GACGAACGCUGGCGGCGUGCUUAACACAUGCAAGUCGAACGGAAAGGCCCUGCUUGCAGGGUACUCGAGUGGCGAACGGGUGAGUAACACGUGGGUGAUCUGCCCUGCACUUCGGGAUAAGCCUGGGAAGCUGGGUCUAAUACCGGAUAGGAGCCAUUUUUAGUGUGAUGGUUGGAAAGUUUUUUCGGUGUAGGAUGAGCUCGCGGCCUAUCAGCUUGUUGGUGGGGUAAUGGCCUACCAAGGCGGCGACGGGUAGCCGGCCUGAGAGGGUGGACGGCCACAUUGGGACUGAGAUACGGCCCAGACUCCUACGGGAGGCAGCAGUGGGGAAUAUUGCACAAUGGGCGCAAGCCUGAUGCAGCGACGCCGCGUGGGGGAUGACGGCCUUCGGGUUGUAAACUCCUUUCGCUAGGGACGAAGCUUUUUGUGACGGUGCCUAGAUAAGAAGCACCGGCUAACUACGUG